rnacentral:rRNA from 1 species
UGCGUAGGUGGCGCGCUAAGUCGGGUGUGAAAUCCCGGGGCUUAACCUCGGGACUGCAUUCGAUACUGGCGUGCUUGAGGACUGGAGAGGAGACUGGAAUUCAUGGUGUAGCAGUGAAAUGCGUAGAGAUCAUGAGGAAGACCAGUGGCGAAGGCGGGUCUCUGGACAGUUCCUGACACUGAGGCACCAAAGGGGCCCACGGGGGAAGGCAAACG